rnacentral:rRNA from 1 species
AUUGAACGCUGGCGGCAGGCCUAACACAUGCAAGUCGAACGAGUGGCGGACGGGUGAGUCAUGUCUGGGAAACUGCUUUAUGGCUGGGGAUAACUCCUGGAAACGGUAGCUAAUACCGCAUACCAUCGGAUGUUCCCAGAUGGGAUUAGCUAGUAGGUGGGGGAAAGGCUCACCUAGGCGACGAUCCCUAGCUGGUCUGAGAGGAUGAACAGCCACACUGGAACUGAGACACGGUCCAGACUCCUACGGGAGGCAGCAGUGGGGAAUAUUGCACAAUGGGCGCAAGCCUGAUGCAGCCAUGCCGCGUGUAUGAAGAAGGCCUUCGGGUUGUAAAGUACUGUCAGCGGGGAGGCGUUACCCGAAGAAGAAGCACCGGCUAACUCCGUGCCAGCAGCCGCGGUAAUAC